GAUGAAGAACGUAGCGAAAUGCGAUACGUAAUGUGAAUUGCAGAAUUCAGUGAAUCAUCGAAUCUUUGAACGCAUAUUGCGCUCUUUGGUAUUCCGAAGAGCAUGCUUGUUUGAGUAUCAGUAAACACCUCAACCUCUUCUUGAUUUUUCAAAAGGAGGGUGGACUUGAGCUAUCCCAACAACCUUUACCGGUCGGCGGGCGGCUUGAAAUGCAGGUGCAGCUGGACUUUUAUCUGAGCUAAAAGCAUAUCUAUUUAGUCCUCGUCAAACAGGAUUAUUACUUUUGCUGCAGCUAACAUAAAGGAUAAUUGUCCUCUUUGCUGACUGAUGCAGGAUUUUACGACACUUUAUGUGUUGUUCAACUCGAUCUCAAAUCAAGUAAGACUACCCGCUGAACUUAAGCAUAUCAAUAACGGAGGA
rnacentral:misc_RNA from 1 species